rnacentral:rRNA from 1 species
UACGGGGGGGGCAAGCGUUGUUCGGAAUUACUGGGCGUAAAGGGCUCGUAGGCGGCCAACUAAGUCGGAUGUGAAAUCCCCAGGCUUAACCUGGGAACUGCAUCCGAUACUGGAUGGCUUGAAUCCGGGAGAGGGAUGCGGAAUUCCAGGUGUAGCGGUGAAAUGCGCAGAUAUCAGGAGGAACACCGGUGGCGAAGGCGGAUCUCUGGGCCGUAACUGACGCUGAGGAGCGAAAGCAUGGGGAGCGAACAGG